AAGUCCGUAACGAGCGCAACCUUGUCCUAGUUACCAGCACGUUAUGUGGGCACUCUAAGGAGACUGCCGGUGACAAACCGGAGGAAGGUGGGGAUGACGUCAAGUCAUCAUGGCCCUUACGGCCUGGGCUACACACGUGCUACAAUGGUCGGUACAAAGGGUUGCCAAGCCGCGAGGUGGAGCUAAUCCCAUAAAACCGAUCGUAGUCCGGAUCGCAGUCUGCAACUCGACUGCGUGAAGUCGGAAUCGCUAGUAAUCGUGAAUCAGAAUGUCACGGUGAAUACGUUCCCGGGCCUU
rnacentral:rRNA from 1 species